UGUGGAUCCACUGACUUGUUGGAGAUUGACAAGAGGCUUGGCUUGUUCCAAGAAAAAGACACAGUUUUCUGUCUGCACUGACAGUCGUUUGUUUCAAGGAAACAAGGAAUCCGUCUGGAAUGGACGGCAGUUUCUCAUCAGGAUGAUGAAGAGUCUGUGCGGGA
rnacentral:lncRNA from 1 species